AGUCGAACGAUGAAGCUUCUAGCUUGCUAGAAGUGGAUUAGUGGCGCACGGGUGAGUAAGGUAUAGUUAAUCUGCCCUACACAAGAGGACAACAGUUGGAAACGACUGCUAAUACUCUAUAUUCCUGCUUAACACAAGUUGAGUAGGGAAAGUUUUUCGGUGUAGGAUGAGACUAUAUAGUAUCAGCUAGUUGGUAAGGUAAUGGCUUACCAAGGCUAUGACGCUUAACUGGUCUGAGAGGAUGAUCAGUCACACUGGAACUGAGACACGGUCCAGACUCCUACGGGAGGCAGCAGUAGGGAAUAUUGCGCAAUGGGGGAAACCCUGACGCAGCAACGCCGCGUGGAGGAUGACACUUUUCGGAGCGUAAACUCCUUUUCUUAGGGAAGAAUUCUGACGGUACCUAAGGAAUAAGCACCGGCUAACUCCGUGCCAGCAGCCGCGGUAAUACGGAGGGUGCAAGCGUUACUCGGAAUCACUGGGCGUAAAGGGCGCGUAGGCGGAUUAUCAAGUCUCUUGUGAAAUCUAAUGGCUUAACCAUUAAACUGCUUGGGAAACUGAUAGUCUGGAGUGAGGGAGAGGCAGAUGGAAUUGGUGGUGUAGGGGUAAAAUCCGUAGAUAUCACCAAGAAUACCCAUUGCGAAGGCGAUCUGCUGGAACUCAACUGACGCUAAGGCGCGAAAGCGUGGGGAGCAAACAGGAUUAGAUACCCUGGUAGUCCACGCCCUAAACGAUGUACACUAGUUGUUGGGGUGCUAGUCAUCUCAGUAAUGCAGCUAACGCAUUAAGUGUACCGCCUGGGGAGUACGGUCGCAAGAUUAAAACUCAAAGGAAUAGACGGGGACCCGCACAAGCGGUGGAGCAUGUGGUUUAAUUCGAAGAUACGCGAAGAACCUUACCUGGGCUUGAUAUCCUAAGAACCUCUUAGAGAUAAGAGGGUGCUAGCUUGCUAGAACUUAGAGACAGGUGCUGCACGGCUGUCGUCAGCUCGUGUCGUGAGAUGUUGGGUUAAGUCCCGCAACGAGCGCAACCCACGUAUUUAGUUGCUAACGGUUCGGCCGAGCACUCUAAAUAGACUGCCUUCGUAAGGAGGAGGAAGGUGUGGACGACGUCAAGUCAUCAUGGCCCUUAUGCCCAGGGCGACACACGUGCUACAAUGGCAUAUACAAUGAGACGCAAUACCGCGAGGUGGAGCAAAUCUAUAAAAUAUGUCCCAGUUCGGAUUGUUCUCUGCAACUCGAGAGCAUGAAGCCGGAAUCGCUAGUAAUCGUAGAUCAGCCAUGCUACGGUGAAUACGUUCCCGGGUCUUGUACUCACCGCCCGUCACACCAUGGGAGUUGAUUUCACUCGAAGCCGGAAUACUAAACUAGU
rnacentral:rRNA from 1 species